GAUGAACGCUAGCUACAGGCUUAACACAUGCAAGUCGAGGGGCAGCAUGGUCUUAGCUUGCUAAGGCCGAUGGCGACCGGCGCACGGGUGAGUAACACGUAUCCAACCUGCCGUCUACUCUUGGACAGCCUUCUGAAAGGAAGAUUAAUACAAGAUGGCAUCAUGAGUCCGCAUGUUCACAUGAUUAAAGGUAUUCCGGUAGACGAUGGGGAUGCGUUCCAUUAGAUAGUAGGCGGGGUAACGGCCCACCUAGUCUUCGAUGGAUAGGGGUUCUGAGAGGAAGGUCCCCCACAUUGGAACUGAGACACGGUCCAAACUCCUACGGGAGGCAGCAGUGAGGAAUAUUGGUCAAUGGGCGCAGGCCUGAACCAGCCAAGUAGCGUGAAGGAUGACUGCCCUAUGGGUUGUAAACUUCUUUUAUAAAGGAAUAAAGUCGGGUAUGGAUACCCGUUUGCAUGUACUUUAUGAAUAAGGAUCGGCUAACUCCGUGCCAGCAGCCGCGGUAAUACGGAGGAUCCGAGCGUUAUCCGGAUUUAUUGGGUUUAAAGGGAGCGUAGAUGGAUGUUUAAGUCAGUUGUGAAAGUUUGCGGCUCAACCGUAAAAUUGCAGUUGAUACUGGAUAUCUUGAGUGCAGUUGAGGCAGGCGGAAUUCGUGGUGUAGCGGUGAAAUGCUUAGAUAUCACGAAGAACUCCGAUUGCGAAGGCAGCCUGCUAAGCUGCAACUGACAUUGAGGCUCGAAAGUGUGGGUAUCAAACAGGAUUAGAUACCCUGGUAGUCCACACGGUAAACGAUGAAUACUCGCUGUUUGCGAUAUACUGCAAGCGGCCAAGCGAAAGCGUUAAGUAUUCCACCUGGGGAGUACGCCGGCAACGGUGAAACUCAAAGGAAUUGACGGGGGCCCGCACAAGCGGAGGAACAUGUGGUUUAAUUCGAUGAUACGCGAGGAACCUUACCCGGGCUUAAAUUGCAGAUGAAUUACGGUGAAAGCCGUAAGCCGCAAGGCAUCUGUGAAGGUGCUGCAUGGUUGUCGUCAGCUCGUGCCGUGAGGUGUCGGCUUAAGUGCCAUAACGAGCGCAACCCUUGUUGUCAGUUACUAACAGGUUCCGCUGAGGACUCUGACAAGACUGCCAUCGUAAGAUGUGAGGAAGGUGGGGAUGACGUCAAAUCAGCACGGCCCUUACGUCCGGGGCUACACACGUGUUACAAUGGGGGGUACAGAGGGACGCUACCACGCGAGUGGAUGCCAAUCCCAAAAACCUCUCUCAGUUCGGACUGGAGUCUGCAACCCGACUCCACGAAGCUGGAUUCGCUAGUAAUCGCGCAUCAGCCACGGCGCGGUGAAUACGUUCCCGGGCCUUGUACACACCGCCCGUCAAGCCAUGGGAGCCGGGGGUACCUGAAGUGCGUAACCGCGAGGAGCGCCCUAGGGUAAAACUG
rnacentral:rRNA from 1 species